AACGCACAUUGCGCCCCGUGGUAUUCCGCGGGGCAUGCCUGUUCGAGCGUCAUUACAACCCUCAAGCUCGGCUUGGUAUUGGGCCCCGCCGGUAACGGCAGGCCUUAAAAUCAGUGGCGGUGCUGUCAGGCCCUAAGCGUAGUAAUCUUUCUCGCUACAGGGUCCUGGUGGUGCUUGCCAUCAACCCCCCACUUUCUAUGGUUGACCUCGGAUCAGGUAGGGAUACCCGCUGAACUUAA
rnacentral:misc_RNA from 1 species